CAGAAUUAAGGAAGUUCACUGGAGUAAAAUGGAGGCCUCAGUAAUAUUACCCAUUCUGAAGAAAAAACUAGCCUUCCUUUCAGGAGGAAAAGACAGACGGAGUGGCCUCAUUUUGACAAUUCCAUUAUGCCUCGAACAGACAAAUAUGGAUGAGCUGAGUGUCACCUUAGACUACCUACUCAGCAUUCCAAGGUGACUCUAAAGUGAGAAGUGUAAGGCUAGAGGAUUUACCGUGAUUGUGGAUGGCAGAAAAUCACAGUGGAAUGUGGUGAAAACAGUAGUCGUAAUGCUACAGAUGAGCUGUUUGGGACUUGCUGUUUGAACUGGACUUUGAUCAGUGGCAGUUUU
rnacentral:lncRNA from 1 species